UCAAACUGGACAAACGCCCGUAACAGUUGCUGUGAAAUUGGCCUUACUCUGACCUCAAUGGAAUCGGCGGGAAAGUCGAGUUGCUUUUCCAGAAUAGUCUCAAAAUUCGCUCCGGCGACCUUUGGAGACUACUGGCUCUCCGGCACUGAUCUGGGGUGUGACUCAAACUUCCGCUGGUGCACCCUGAGCCGGGACUUCGUCCACCCUGAGCUCAAUUGGAAGGAGGGACACCCGAAACCCGGCCUGGACUGCGUUUAUCUCGAAGUGAGGAAUGGAUCCACGUUGCUGGCCACCGAUAACUGCGCCCAAAACAAGAGCUUUCUCUGUGAAGUGAGGAAGAAGGGUACCUUCGGAAGGGCCAUGCAGACCGAAUGUGCAGAAACUUGGGACAUCACAAUUGAACAAAUCGAUCUUCUUAUGAACGUGAGCGCUUUUCUCGCGGCAACUAUUUCGCAA